rnacentral:rRNA from 1 species
UAAGCGGAGGAAAAGAAACUAACAAGGAUUCCCUUAGUAACGGCGAGUGAACCGGGAAGAGCUCAAAUUUGAAAUCUGGCUGUCUUCGAUAGUCCGAGUUGUAAUCUAUAGAAGCGUUUUCCGUGCUGAACUGUGUAUAAGUCCCUUGGAACAGGGUAUCAAAGAGGGUGACAAUCCCGUGCUUUACACAAUCAUCAGUGCUCUGUGAUACGCUCUCUACGAGUCGAGUUGUUUGGGAAUGCAGCUCAAAAUGGGUGGUAAAUUCCAUCUAAAGCUAAAUAUUGGCGAGAGACCGAUAGCGAACAAGUACCGUGAGGGAAAGAUGAAAAGCACUUUGGAAAGAGAGUUAAACAGUACGUGAAAUUGUUGAAAGGGAAACGAUUGAAGUCAGUCGUGUUCAUUGGAUUCAGCCGGUCUUCGGUGUACUUCCUUUGAACGGGUCAACAUCAGUUUUGUCCGGUAGAUAAAGGCAGUAGGAAUGUGGCUCCCCCGGGAGUGUUAUAGCCUAUUGUCACAUGUACUGGAGGAGACUGAGGACUGCAGCUCGCCUUUUGGCCGGGGUUCGCCCACGUUCGAGCUUAGGAUGUUGACAUAAUGGCUUUAAACGACCCGUCUUGAAACACG